rnacentral:misc_RNA from 1 species
GAUGAAGAACGCAGCGAAAUGCGAUAAGUAAUGUGAAUUGCAGAAUUCAGUGAAUCAUCGAAUCUUUGAACGCACAUUGCGCCCGCCAGUAUUCUGGCGGGCAUGCCUGUUCGAGCGUCAUUUCAACCCUCAGGGCCCUUUUGGACCUGGCGUUGGGGCUCGGCCGCUACCCUGCGGCCGUCCCCGAAAGAUAGUGGCGGUCUCGCUGUAGCCUCCUCUGCGUAGUAGUUACAUCUCGCACUGGAACGCGGCGCGGCCAUGCCGUUAAACGCCCCACUUCUCAAGGUUGACCUCGGAUCAGGUAGGAAUACCCGCUGAACUUAAGCAUAUCAAUAAGCGGAGGA